GAGCCCGGUGACAGGUGCUGCAUGGCUGUCGUCAGCUCGUGUCGUGAGAUUGUUGGGUUAAGUCCCGCAACGAGCCGCAACCCUCGCCUUUAGUUGCCAGCAUUCAGUUGGGCACUCUAAGGGACUGCCGGUGUCAAACCGGAGGAAGGUGGGGAUGACGUCAAGUCCUCAUGGCCUUUAUGUCUAGGGCUACACACGUACUACAAUGGCAGGUACAAAGGGCAGCGACACAGCGAUGUGAUGCGAAUCCCGAAAAGCCUGUCUCAGUCCGGAUCGGAGUCUGCAACUCGACUCCGUGAAGUUGGAAUCGCUAAGUAAUCGUGGAUCAGCAUGCCACGGUGAAUACGUUCCCGGGCCUU
rnacentral:rRNA from 1 species